rnacentral:misc_RNA from 1 species
UUGAAUUUUAAUGAAGAGUUUGGUUGUAGCUGGCCCAUUCAUUUGGGCAUGUGCACACCUUCCUCUUUCAUCCCACACACACCUGUGAACCUGUGAGACAGAGAUGGGGAAUUUACUUGCUGCUUUUUGGAAUACAAAGGCAAUAGGUUAUUGGACCCCCCCUCUGUCUACUCAAUUAAUAUAAACUCAAUUUAUUUUAAGACGAAUGUAAUGGAUGUAACACAUCUCAUAC